rfam:Syntrophaceticus schinkii strain Sp3 genome assembly, contig: SSCH_Contig_25
AAAAUAUUAUAGAGAUUGGGCGCUGUCUCCCGUUAAUCUAAGCGGGAGACAUAGGGAAGUCCGGUGAAAAUCCGGCGUGGUCCCGCCACUGUGAUGGGGAUUUAUCUUACACGAUGCCACUGGGGAAAUCCGGGAAGGCGUAGGGUAAAAAUGAACCCAAGCCAGGAAACCUGCCCUGUUUCUAUGAACCAG